rnacentral:rRNA from 1 species
AUACGGAGGAUGCGAGCGUUAUCCGGAUUUAUUGGGUUUAAAGGGAGCGUAGGUGGGAUAUUAAGUCAGCUGUGAAAGUUUGGGGCUCAACCUUAAAAUUGCAGUUGAUACUGGUUUCCUUGAGUACGGUACAGGUGGGCGGAAUUCGUGGUGUAGCGGUGAAAUGCUUAGAUAUCACGAAGAACUCCGAUCGCGAAGGCAGCUCCCCGGACCGGAACUGACACUGAUGCCCGAAAGCGUGGGUAGCAAACAGGAUUAGAUGCCCUGGUAGUCCGCACCGUAAACGAUGAAUGCUUGGUUUCGGGGGUAUAAUCUCGGAGCCAAAGCGAAAGCAAUAAGUAUUCCACCUGGGGAGUACGGUGGCACCGCUGAAACUCAAAUGAAUUGACGGGG